rnacentral:rRNA from 1 species
AUAAGGAGUCGGACCUGCCCAGUGAAAUUUUAACGGCCGCGGUACUCUGACCGUGCAAAGGUAGCAUAAUCAUUUGCCUUAUAAUUGAAGGCUAGUAUGAAUGGUUUGACAAGAAUAUUACUGUCUCUUUAUAAUUGAUUAGAAUUUUAUUUUAAGGUGAAGAAGCCUUAAUAAAAUUGAUAGACAAGAAGACCCUAUCGAGCUUAAAAGAAUUCAGUAGGUUCUAUUUAAUACUAGAUAAAAAAUUAACUAUUAAAAAUUUUGGUUGGGGCGACUAAGGAACAAAAAAAGCUUCCUUUAAAAAUAAAUUAUUACAUACAAGUUUUAGAUCCAAAAUUUUUGAUUGAAGGAAUUAGUUACCGUAGGGAUAACAGCAUUAUCUUUUUCGAGAGCUCUUAUCGAAAAAAAGGUUUGUGACCUCGAUGUUGGACCAGAAUAUCCUAAAGAUGCAGAAGUCUUUAAGGGUUGGUCUGUUCGACCAUUAAAAUUCUA